UGAAUUGUAGACUAAUAGGUAAGUCCCCAAAAUUUGAGUUUGGCUUAUGGUGUGUUCGAAUCACCCCAAUUCAA
rnacentral:tRNA from 10 species